CAGCCGCCGCGGUAAUACGAAGGGUGCAAGCGUUAAUCGGAAUUACUGGGCGUAAAGCGUGCGUAGGCGGUGAGUUAAGUCUGCUGUGAAAUCCCCGGGCUCAACCUGGGAAUGGCAGUGGAUACUGGCUCGCUAGAGUGUGUCAGAGGAUGGUGGAAUUCCCGGUGUAGCGGUGAAAUGCGUAGAGAUCGGGAGGAACAUCAGUGGCGAAGGCGGCCAUCUGGGACAACACUGACGCUGAGGCACGAAAGCGUGGGGAGCAGACAGGAUUAGAUACCCCAGUAGUCCCUGUCUCUUAUAC
rnacentral:rRNA from 1 species